GAUGAACGCUAGCGGAAGGCUUAAUACAUGCAAGUCGAGCGGUAGGUGGCUUCGGCCAUUGAGAGCGGCGCACGGGUGAGUAACGCGUACAUGACCUGCCUGUCAGAAGGGGAUAGCCCUGGGAAACUGGGAUUAAUACCCUAUGGUAUUGAUAUUAUGAAUGAUAUCAAUUAAAGUUGAGGCGCUGACGGAUGGAUGUGCGUCUGAUUAGCUAGUUGGUAGGGUAACGGCCUACCAAGGCGACGAUCAGUAGGGGGCGUGAGAGCGUGGUCCCCCACACGGGUACUGAGACACGGACCCGACUCCUACGGGAGGCAGCAGUAAGGAAUAUUGGACAAUGGCCGCAAGGCUGAUCCAGCCAUGCCGCGUGCAGGAAGAAGGCCCUAUGGGUCGUAAACUGCUUUUGAACAAGAGAAAACCCCUCUACGUGUAGAGGGCUGAUAGUAUUGUUAGAAUAAGCAUCGGCUAACUUCGUGCCAGCAGCCGCGGUAAU
rnacentral:rRNA from 1 species